GUGGUGGGGCGGAUGGUCGCGGUUGGCGCUUCGGUACCAAUCGAGGAAAGUCCGAGCUCCACAGGGCAGACUGCCAGGUAACGCCUGGGCGCCGGAAGGCGACGGACAGGGCCACAGAAAACACACCGCCUGCCUCGGCAGGUAAGGGUGAAAAGGUGGGGUAAGAGCCCACCGCACGCCUGGCAACAGCGCGUGGCACGGUAACCCCCAGUCGGAGCAAGGCCAAAUAGGCGGCGAUGGUCCGGCCCGGACCGCCUGAGCCGCGGGUAGGCUGCUAGAGGUGUCGGGUGACCGACAUCCCAGAGAGAUGACCGUCGGCCCGGCAACGGGCCACAGAACUCGGCUUACAGCCCCGCCACGCCC
rnacentral:RNase_P_RNA from 1 species